rnacentral:lncRNA from 1 species
GGUUAGGGUUAGGUUAGGGUUAGGUUGGGUUAGGUUAGGGUUAGGGUUAGGUUAGGGUUAGGUUGGGUUAGGUUGGGUUAGGUUAGGGUUAGGGUUAGGUUUGGGUUAGGGUUAGGGUUAGGUUGGGUUAGGUUAGGGUUAGGGUUAGGUUAGGGUUAGGGUUAGUUUAGGGUUAGGUUGGGUUAGGUAGGGUUAGGUUAGGGUUAGGGUUAGGUUAGGGUUAGGUUAGGGUUAGGGUUAGUUUAGGGUUAGGUUAGGGUUAGGGUUAGGUUAGGGUUAGGUUGGGUUAGGUUAGGUUAGGGUUAGGUUUGGGUUAGGGUUAGGUUAGGGUUAGGUUGGGUUAGGGUUAGGGUUAGGUUAGGGUUAGGUUGGGUUAGGUUAGGGUUAGGUUUGGGUUAGGGUUAGGUUAGGGUUAGGUUAGGUUUGGGUUAGGGUUAGGUUAGGGUUAGGGUUAGGUUGGGUUAGGUUAGGUUAGGGUUAGGUUUGGGUUAGGGUUAGGUUUGGGUUAGGGUUAGGUUAGGGUUAGGUUAGGGUUAGGGUUAGUUUAGGGUUAGGUUAGGUUAGGGUUAGGUUUGGGUUAGGGUUAGGUUAGGUUUGGGUUAGGGUUAGGUUAGGGUUAGGUUAGGGUUAGGUUUGGGUUAGGUUAGGGUUAGGUUAGGGUUAGGUUAGGGUUAGGUUUGGGUUAGGGUUAGGUUAGGGUUAGGUUAGGUUUGGGUUUGGGUUAGGGUUAGGUUAGGUUAGGGUUAGGUUAGGUUAGGGUUAGGUUAGGGUUAGGGUUAGGUUAGGGUUAGGUUAGGGUUAGGGUUAGGUUUGGGUUUGGGUUUGGGUUAGGGUUAGGUUAGGGUUAGGGUUAGGUUAGGGUUAGGUUAGGGUUAGGGUCGCUGUACUGUUACCUUCCAGACUGGUUCCAUAUGAAUGAAUUUAGCCAUAUUGUAUGUACGUGUUAUUUCGCUGUUGUUGUUGAUGAUGUUGUUGGUAUUCAUCACAUCGACUCAUCUCAGUCUUACCUGGUAAAAUAAAAGUUUAUGUAUUUAACAAAAUAUUACCCCGUCAAUGCACAUUUAUGCUACACGUUAGUUGUUGCUUUACAUUAGGACAUACUUGUUUCAAAGUGCAUGGAUUUGAAAUCUCUUCUCAGUCUUUAUUUCCCACGACAGAAAUCACUUCUAGCAAUAUUAGGCAGUGGGACACUCACUACCCACUCACUAUUAUAAAUACUGUGGGUCUCAUUGACACAGGUAAACGUGAAUUGUGUGUGUUUUAAAGUAGUUAAAUUGUUCUACGGUAGUCUAGUGAUUCAGGCCCGAUACAUUGUUACUAUCUCUUUGUUCAAAAUACUUCAAUUCAAAGGAAAGAAAGAAAACUAAUGCAUUAUUUUUAAAUGGUCUUAUUUUCCCUCCUUGUUUUAAGAAAAAAAUACAUUGCAGAACUGCAACAUUUAUAGUCUAUUUGAGACAUGGAACAAACAAAAAAACUUAUACAAUAAUUUUCAUCUGAAAAAUGCAUUUUUGGUUUUCAAGUCAUGAGGACAAAUGUAUUUUGUCUUUACAGAGACAGGGUUUAUUUUGUCUUUACAGAGACAGGGUAAGCGAAACAACAUUAACUCUGAAUAUUUCCUUCAUUUUUGAUCAUAAUUGAAUUGCUUAUCAAUAGGUUAUCCAUACGAUUCCAAUACAACAUCACAAUUUUAAUACCAGUUCUCAUUCGUGUUCCAACUAAUGAAAAUAAAGAAGAAAAAAAAAAAAAAAAAAAAAUAAUCAUGUUUUUCUUUUACAAAAAAUAAAAAUACAAAAAACAGACACAGAAACAAAUCAGUCAAAAUCUACAGAAAAUUGUAAAUGUAUAAUUAUACUUUGGGAUAGACAGCAUAUUGGCUUUGUUUUCAUCUUUGGAAUGAAGCUUUUGCUUAGAAUAUUCAACCACUACCACACAGUCGAGCCUGAUCCCAGAUCUGUCCGUGCUGUAUAUCUAACUCCUACGGUGGUUGUCACACAAACUGACCUGGAACCAGGCUUCUCAACCACCUCCUGUGAGGUCAUCCUUUCCAGGUGUAAUUUAGCCAUUGUCGUCAGAUUGUAACAACACCUUGCCUUUGGUUUAGAAAACACUCCUCUCUAAGUACCCCUUUUCACACUAUCAUGCCGACCUGAACAAAACCGGGUCAGUACAGUAUGGCUCGGCUCAGUUCGGUUCGGCUCAGUGGUGUGAAAAGGCUUUAUAUAAGACCCUUACUGAGCCAACGUACAUGUAUGUAUCAAGCAUAGACACAUUAAGAGAAUCCAACUGUGGAGAGUGAGAUUGAUGGAUCAAAGUUAAAAGUUAUUGUUCAAUAUUCUCAUGUUCUACUAAAUGAACGAGUGAUUUGAUUCAUCAAGGUUAUUUUGGUUAUCAUCACACUGACCUCUGAACUCUAACCCCCUGUGGUCGUCGGACUGUCUGACCCUUCUCCUACGACCCCCUGAGGUAGGUUAGUGGCCUUGCUGUAGAUCUCUUUAUGUGUGGUUUAAUUAUUAUUAUUAUUUUUUUAAAUUAUUAACCCAGUGAGGACCAGAGUAACAGUACAAUCACUUCAUCCUAAACUCAUUUGUGGUAUUUUAAUCAGACACUGAUUGGGUGCUGCUGUCUAAUAAGAGGGUUUUAUUUGUCAGUUAGCUAAGUGGAAGGUCAAAGAGAGGCAUAGAUUGUCAGGCACAGUGCCUUCAGUGACAUCAUUAAGUUGAGUCUUUUUUCCGUAAUAUUCUUUGAAAGAUGUAUUUUUUUCCUACUGUGUUUUCAGGUCUAUUGUUGUUGGUCAAAAUACUACAUGGUUUGUCCAUCGAUGUCAAAUUCUGCGCUGUGUAAGUUACUAUACGAAGGCUAUUAUCAAAGUUGUGGACUACUGUCUCAAAAUGGGUCUCAGAACAGGUUUUCGACUCAUUCUAUUUAUAUCUCAUCUGUCACUCUUUGACAGUAUGUUAACAGUUAGCCUUGUGUUAGCCUUGUGCAGUAUGUUAUUAACAGUUAGCCUUGUGUUCAUAACCUUCUACUCAGAAUAUGGACGCUUCAGCUAAUUCACUUAUUACCCAAAGGGUACACUAUGACAGUGGAGGGUCAAUAUAUACACAACUGAGCCACACUCUCAGCAACCACAUGCAGUCCAUAGAGUGGUACGGGAUUCUGAACUUAAAAAGUAAUGAAGUCACAAUGCAUUACACUGCUAGCUAAUUGUAAAUAUACUCAUGCAUAAAAUCUGGGCUAUAGCACUGUUGUUUGGCAGUUGCUAAACAUAAUGCUACACUUCAACACAGAAGAAUAGGACAUAAGACAAAGAAGGAAACAUUUACAAAAUGGUGGUCAGAAACUAGGUCGUAAGACAAAGAAGGAAACAUUUACAAAAUGGUGGUCAGAAACUAGGUCGUAAGACAAAGAAGGAAACAUUUACAAAAUGGUGGUCAGAAACUAGGUCAUAAGACAAAGAAGGAAACAUUUACAAAAUGGUGGUCAGAAACUAGGUCAUAAGAACGGGGGGGUUUUUCUCUUUUUUUUCCUAUUUUUUUUUUUACAUUGUAACAUGUAAACUGUGGGCUUAAUCUGCAAUUAUCCUCAUUACAGAAAGCUGAGUGAAUAACCGGAGCCCCUCCAACAACAACAAAAAAAUAAAACCAGAAACAAUUAAAAACCCAAACCACAAAAAAGACAAGCAUUUGUUUUUGGUAAGCGCACCUCUUCAACUAUUACAGAAAUCACAACUUAAAAUGUAUCAAGAUUUUUUUUGGUUUUUUUUUUGUCUCGUAAAGUCACACAGUUACCAAAAUAAUAAUUUAUUACAUAUGCUAGAAUAACAUUACCCUAACCACUAGUAUCUCUGAGGUAUAUCUGAAAACAUUAAGGAGAGCACGAUCUGCGCUGUUGACAUGCCACAACUUUUUCAUUUUUUCAUUUUUUUUUUUUUUAAAUGUAAAGCUUUGUAACCAUUUGGUAGAAUAAGAAGAGGAAGAGGAAACAGAUAUAUUUGGAAAACCUUUGGUAUCAUUUCUCUUAGUUGUUUGCUUAGUGAUUGCAUUGCAAAGUACCACAGAGCCGGACUAAUACAUUGUCCACUAGUCAACAACGCGACGGCCAGCUAGAAGCUGAGGUAAGUACAGAGAGGUCUACACUUUGCUUUGGUUCAAGCAAGGCACUCGUCCCAUGGUUAUCUCAUACUUUGCAACAAAAGCGCUGUUUACGUCUUUGUUAAAGCAGCCCCAGUGGAAAAGUAAUAUAGCUGGCUGAAUAUAGGCCUUUAACCCUAUUAGUAAUAUAGGCAUAUAACCCUAUUAGUAAUAUAGGCCUUUAACCCUAUUAGUAAUAUAGGCCUUUAACCCUAUUAGUAAUAUAGGCCUUUAACCCUAUUAGUAAUAUAGGCCUUUAACCCUAUUAGUAAUAUAGGCAUAUAACCCUAUUAGUAAUAUAGGCAUAUAACCCUAUUAGUAAUAUAGGCCUUUAACCCUAUUAGUAAUAUAGGCAUAUAACCCUAUUAGUAAUAUAGGCAUAUAACCCUAUUAGUAAUAUAGGCCUUUAACCCUAUUAGUAAUAUAGGCCUUUAACCCUAUUAGUAAUAUAGGCCUAAAAGCCUAUUAGUAAUAUAGGCCUUUAACCCUAUUAGUAAUAUAGGCCUUUAACCCUAUUAGUAAUAUAGGCCUUUAACCCUAUUAGUAAUAUAGGCAUAUAACCCUAUUAGUAAUAUAGGCAUAUAACCCUAUUAGUAAUAUAGGCCUCUAACCCUAUUAGUAAUAUAGGCCUCUAACCCUAUUAGUAAUAUAGGCCUCUAACCCUAUUAGUAAUAUAGGCAUAUAACCCUAUUAGUAAUAUAGGCAUAUAACCCUAUUAGUAAUAUAGGCAUAUAACCCUAUUAGUAAUAUAGGCCUCUAACCCUAUUAGUAAUAUAGGCCUCUAACCCUAUUAGUAAUAUAGGCCUCUAACCCUAUUAGUAAUAUAGGCCUAAAAGCCUAUUAGUAAUAUAGGCCUCUAACCCUAUUAGUAAUAUAGGCCUAAAAGCCUAUCAUGUCAGCUCUAGAGAGAGAAUCCAUUGGAGUCAGUAUUGUCAUAUGGUUCCAGGAGUCUCACAUCAACUGUUGCCACUCCCAUAUCUUAAGUAUAUUUGCAUAAUGUAUUAUAUGCUAAUUUGUAUAGGCUACACAUAGAUGAAGGUGGUAACACGUGAUGAACUCCCGUACUUUCAUAGAUGACAAUGGUCCCAAGUUCCCACUAGAUUCAGCAUUAUUUCACUCUCUCUCUCAUUUCAACUCCAUAUUACCUUUCCAAACAGGAGCUAGAGAAUGAUUAGUAUAAUGAUGUGUUCGUAACCAAGUGGGAAGUGGGAAUUUCUCACAUGUAACUGGGAAAAAUCCCAUUGAAGACCCCUCCAACUGGUAAUUACUAGUGGGGAAACUCGUCCCUCCCACUUCUCUCGCAUGCUGACCUUUGACAUCACCUACUUUAUUUAACUAUGCAAGUCAGUUAAGAACAAAUUCUUAUUUACAAUGACGGUCUACACCGGCCAAACCCGGACGACGCUGGGACAAUUGUACGCCGCCCUUAUGGGACUCCCAAUCACAGCCGGUUGUGAUACAGCCUGGAUUCAAACCAGGGUGUCUUUAGUGAUGCCUCUUGCACUGAGAUGCAGUGCCUUAGACCGCUGCGCCACUCAGGAGCCUCAGUGGCUCCCUACUAAGAGAAUGGCCUCUAUAACAGCAUUUCCAGCAGUUAAAUGCAACAACAAAACAUUAUUUAUAAAAAGCUAUCUAUUCAUAUGGUUUGUGAACACUAUAAUUUGUUAACGAGCAUGAUAGCUGUACUUUUAGUUCAUGGUUAAGUAGCUUGUUGACCUUUAGCCAAUCUGCGUUUCUCAACGAGUUCAAAGCACGUGAAUUCAUCCUACUGGUAUUUAAUACUUCACAACUGGCAUAUUCCCACCUCCCACUUGGUUACGAACACAGAAUUAGUUCCAAGGAGUACACUACUGCUAUUAUAAUUAUUACAGCUGUUCUGUUCUUGUCUGAACCAGAAUGCAUCAGGGUUACAUUUUGGUAUGUGUCUUUCAGAGAGGCCUUUCACCAGUGCCUUUGGUUUCUUUGGUUUGGUUUGGUUAAAAUCACAACGUUGCACUGGAACAGUAGGCAGGGAGGAGGAUUGUGGCUUUUGAAGUCCAUUUACAGUAUAUUGUCCAUUGUUUUAUUUCCAUUAAGUCUGAUUGUUUAGGAGUGAUACUUGGGGGAUUGAGGGAAGCAUUUUCAAAUGUAUGGACUGUAGCCUUCUUUGCAAAGGCACUAGUAAAAACACAGCUACUAUAAUGGACACUGUGAUAAGAUGGACAUUGUGGUUUUUGGGCUAAUCAUUCUGACUCUCCUGUGUUUGUAGAUUUAUGAAAACGUUUUUUUCUUUUUUCCGGCACUGCUUGUUUGGCCGUUACAUAAAAAAUAAAAAUAAAAAAAACAAUGAUUAAACGUUCAUCCCUAGAUGUCUGGGAAUUAUAGUAGUAUGUAUAUAUAUAUAUAUAUAUAUACCUUCUUUAUAUAGAGUAUGUGGUUGUAUUUUAUCCAGCCAUACCUUCUUUAUAUAGAGUAUGUGGUUGUAUUUUAUCCAGCCAUACCUUCUUUAUAUAGAGUAUGUGGUUGUAUUUUAUCCAGCCAUACCUUCUUUAUAUAGAGUAUGUGGUUGUAUUUUAUCCAGCCAUACCUUCUUUAUAUAGAGUAUGUGGAUGUAUUUUAUCCAGCCUCUUUGUUGUCUCAAUGCUUCAGUGCAAAAACAGCGUUAACUUUGGGGUUUGUCACAACAACUCAAUGUGUGGUUUGGACACAAUGUGUACUGUGAUCUGGUGAAGGGCUUUCUGAAAGCCAGCAUUAAUCAUGUAUCCCUGACACACACCCUCACCCUCACCUUCCCUCACCCUCACCCUCACCUUCUCUAACCCUCACCUUCCCUAACCCUCACCCUCACCUUCCCUAACCCUCACCUUCCCUAACCCUCACCUUCCCUAACCCUCACCUUCUCUAACCCUCACCUUCUCUAAGCCUCAUCUUCCCUAACCCUCACCCUCACCUUCCCUAACCCUCACCUUCC